GGGGGGCUCUGGGUGUUUUGAAGUGAUCUCCGAAUCUUUACACUACUACUUGAACCCCUAAAACCCUCUGAAAUGGCCGCCUCAACCGCCGCCAGAUCCAUUUUCCGGUCCUGCGCCGGCCGAAGCUGCGCCUCAGCGGCUCGGUUCGCCACUGAAGCGAAAGCUGCUCGCUCACCGUUUCGCAUCGGAGCCAAGCAACCUACAUCAUCCCCCGCUCUCAGGUGUCCUGUUGAAUUGAGCUUCUGUGUGGAGUCGAUGCUGCCCUACCACACUGCCACGGCUUCGGCUUUGAUGACUUCCAUGCUUUCCAUCACUCGCCGCAGUUACGGUUGGCUUCCGGAAGGUAUCUAGCGAACACUUGUAUGGUCCGUUGAUGUCGUUGUCUUCCUUCUAAUUUUCUGAUUCUUGAUGAAUGCAGAUCCAUCCCUUCCAUUCCUGAGCUGACUUCAAACACCAUCCAUUUCAUUUGAUCACCUUUGUAAUAGAGCAGCAAAGACGUUCUACACUCAUCACACAUACAUUAUGUUUCCCUCCUGUCUAGUUUUCUCUUGCUUGCAUUCCUCUUGAAAUUGGGGUGCAGUCAAUGCUUGCAUCUCUCUGUUUGAGCACAUUAACAAACGCAUAGUUUAAUGGCAGUUUACUCUGCAUGUAACAGUGGUUAUUUAAUGGAAAAAUGUGGUCUAGGCAUAGUUCUUGGUGCUUGGAGUCUUUAUUCUUAUGUUUUUGUGGGUCAAGACCUUUGAAUAAUAAUCAAGAUCUCUUCCAUCA